AGGGGCACCUGGCUGGUGCAGUUGGUUAAGCGCCUGACUCCUGAUUUCGGCUCAGGUCUUGAUUCAUGAGAUCAAGCCUCAAUUCUUGAGAUCAGGCGUCGAGUUGGGCUCUGCACUGACAGUGUGAGGCCUGCUUGAGAUUCAUUCUGUCUCUUUCUCACCCUCCCUCCUUCCCCUGCUUGCAUUCUCUCUCAAAAUGUAUAAACAUUUUUUUUUAAUGGGCAGAAAAUGGAAUACUGUGAUCUCAUUCCUGAAUACCUCAGAAUGAUCAUUAAUUGAGGACCCACCUCAGUUAAAACUUGCAUGCACUGCUCAUAUGUUGUAAAAAAAAUGCCUUUUGAAAGUGCCGGCUGAGAAGUCUGAGUGGAAUACACGUGCUUCAGGAGACCUGGUUAUGGGUGUGAGGCGCUGGCGGGACUUCUUUGCCAAGUGGGCUUAGCCCAUCCCGCUCUACCGGCUUUCCAUGGCCUUCGUUUCCUGAACCAGCCAGAAAAUCCUGGCCGUCUGGAAGAUAACCUGAGCACCAGCAUGGUGCACCUUGUUCCUCUCUCCUUCCAGGAGAGGAGCCCUGUGCCUUCACAGUACCUUUCCUGGCCCCCCUUCCUCUGGCAGAAAUCCCACCUCCGCACUGCAAGGCUGAAGAUGCCCUCUUCUGCUGGGGCGCAUGUAAUUUUCCUGGAAUUACAGGAAGGGAGCCAGUGCUGGAACUUUGUCAGCCACUUAGGCCUUAGUCUGGUUCAUGGGUGGAUUAUUACUGCCUAGUCUAGACCAGGGAGGAGAAAGGGUAAAGGCUGUGAUAAAUUUCUAGCCUGAGGGGAGGAAAAAGCCACCUUGGAGGGCCUCCUGAACUAAAGUGGUGGAUUCGGUAGUAGGAUUUGCAUCUGUGUAUGUUCCUUCUGCUUUGAGAAACUUGCCUGGCUGUCAGUUCAGAAAAAUACUCUGGCUCUGGCUCUAGUCGUUUUUCCACCCCUAGCAAGCACUGUUUGGGGGUUGUUUAGGAGUUGUGGAAGGACAGGGAAACUUGCUGUCUUUUCAUUCCUUGCCAUGGGAUCGGAUCCUCCAACUCUGACAUCACUUCAGGUUAUCCUGAAGAGCACCAAAUUAAAAGGAGUAUACACCAGGGCCAAGUGGUAUUUAUUCUUAGAAUGCAAGGGUGAUUCAGCAUGAAGAUCUAUCAAUAUAAUCCACAUUUAUAGAAGGAAGGAAAAAAUCCAACAUGAUCCUCAAUUGAUGCAGAAGAAACACUGAAAAGUAUCCAACAAGAAUUGAAUAUGGGGAAAAUAGUUACACAUCAUAUUCUGAUAAGGGGUAUUAACCCCCUUGGAUAUAUAUCCAAGAUACAGAAAGGGUUAUAUAACUCAAUAGCAAAAAAAAAAAAAAAAUCCAAUUAAAAAAUGGGCAGAGGAGCUGAAUAGACAUUUUCCCAAAGAUAGAUAGCUAACAGGUAUAUGAAAGGGUGCUCGACAUCACUUAUCAUCAGGGAAAUGUAAGUCAAAACCGCAAUGAGAUCCCACCUGUGACAAUGGCUAAAAUGAAAAACAAGUGUGGCGAGCAUGUGGAGGAAAAGGAACCCUCGUGCGCUGCUGGUGGGAAUGCAAACUGGUGCAGCCGCUCUGGAAAACAGUAUGGGGGUUCCUCAAAAAACUAAAUCCAAAGGAAAUGAAAAUACUAGCUCGAAAGAUACCUGCACCCAGUGCUCACUGCAGCAUUAUUUAUAGUAGCCAAGACAUGGAAGCACAGAAGUGUCCAUCAAUCAGUGAAUGGAAAAGGAUGUGUGUGGGGGUGUGUAUACGUGUGUGUGUGUGUGUGUGUGUAUUCAGAGCCACAAAAAGGGAAAUUUUGCCAUUUGUAACAACAUGGAUAGACCUCGAAGGUAUCAUGCUGAGUGAAGUAAGUCUGAGAAAGAUGGAGUACCCUAUGAUCUCACAUGUGGAAUCUAAAAAAGCAAAAAACCAAACUCAUACAGAAAGCAGAGUGGUGGUUGCCAGAGGCAGGGAGUGGGAGGUGGCUGAAAUCAGUGAAAGUGGUCAGAAGUACAUACCUCCGUUACAAAGUACAGAAGCCCAUGAUGUAGUUAAUGUACAGUAUGGUGACUAGAAUUAAUACUGUGUUCCGUGUUUGAAAGUUGCUAAGAGACUAACUCUUAAAAGUUUUCAUGAGAAGAAAAAAAAAUUGUAAUUGUGUUGAUGGAUGUUAACUACAUUUGCUGUGAUCAUUUUGCCAUAUACACAAAUAAUCAAACCAUUACGUUGUACGCCUAAAAUUGAUACCAUGUUGUAUCUCGAAAAAAUUCAACAUCUUUUCAUUAUUAAAACGCUGAAAACAAUAGAAGGAAUUUUUUGACGUAACAAAGGCCAUACUAUGGCAAAAGCCAUUUACCUAAAAUCAGGAACAAGACAAAGAUGCCCACUUUCUAUUCAACAUAGUGCUGGAAAUUCUAUGCAGAACAAUUAGGCAAGAAAAAGAAAAGGCUUCCUAAUUGGAAAGGAAGAAAUAAAAUAUCCCUGUUCACAGGUGACACAGUCAUAUACAUAGAAAACCCUAAAGGAUACACACACACACACAUAUACACAACAUUAGAGGUAAUAAACUAAGUAACACUGCAAAAUGCAAAAUCAAUACACAAAAAUCAGUUGCAUUUCUAUACACUGAAAACAAUUCAAAGUAAAUUAAGAAAAUAAUUUCACUGGGGCCCCCCCUGGGUGGCUCUGUCAGUUGAGCAUCUGACUUCGGCUCAGGUCAUGAUCUCUCUGUCCACGAGUUCAAGCCCCACUUCAGGCUCUGUGCUGACAGCUCAGAGCCUGGAGCCUGCCUUGGAUUCUGUGUCCCCUCUCUCUGCCCCUCCCCCACUCAUGCUCUGUCUUGCUCUCUGUCAAAAAUAAACAUUAAGAAAAAUAAAAUAAUUUCAUUUACAACAGUACCAGAAAGAAUAUUUUUAAGUUAUAAAAUACCACUUUGUAAAAUUUUUAUUUUUUAAUUUACAUCCAAGUUAGCAUAUAGAGCAAUAAUGGUUUGGGGAGUAGAUUCCAGUGAUUCAUCCCCUAUGUAUAACAUCCAGUGCUCAUCCCAACAAGUGUCCUCCUUAAUGCCCCUUACCCAUUUAAGCCCAUCCCCCCACCCAUAACCCCUCCAGUAACCCUCAGUUUGUUCUCUAUAUUUAAGAGUCAUGUUUUGUCCCCCUCCUUGUUUUUAUAUUACUUUUGCUUCCUUUCCCUUAUGUUCAAAUGUUUUGUAUCUUAUAUUCCACAUAUGAGUGAAAUCGUAGGAUAUUUGUCUUUCUCUAAUUUCAUUUAGGAUAUUAUUAUCCUCCAGUUCCGUCCACAUAGUUGCAAAUGGCAAGAUUUCAUUCUUUUGAUUGCCGAGUAAUACUCCAUUGUAUAUAUAUACCACAUCUUCUUCAUCCAUUCAUCCAUCGAUGGACAUUUGGACUCUUUCCAUACUUUGGCUAUUGUUGAUAGAGCUGCUAUAAACAUUAGGGUGCCCGUGCCCCUUCGAAACAGCACACCUCUAUCCCUUGGAUAAAUACCUAGUAGUGCCAUUGCUGGGUUGUAGAGUAGUUCUAUUUUUAGUUUUUUCAGAAACCUCCAUACUGUUUUCCAGAGUGGCUGCACCAGUUUGCAUUCCCACCAGCAGUGCAGAAGGGAUCCUCUCCACAUCCUCGCCAACAUCUGUUGUUGCCUGAGUUGUUAAUGUUAGCCAUUCUGACUGGUAUGAGGUGUUCUCUCAUUGUGGUUUUGAUUUGUAUUCCCCUGAUGAUGAGUGACGUUGAGCAUUUUAUCAUGUUUCGGUUGGCCAUCUGGAUGUCUUCUUUGGAGAAGCGUCUAUUCCUGUCUUUUGCCUAUUUCUUCACUGGAUUGUUUUUUGGGUGUUGAGUUUGAUAAGUUCUUUCAGAUUUUCGAUACUAACCCUUUAUCUGAUGUGUUGUUUGAAAAUAUCUUCUUGCAUUCCGUUGGUUGCCUUUUAGUUUUGCUGAUUGUUUCCUUCGCUGUGCAGAAGCUUUUUAUCUUGAUGAGGUCCCAAUACUUCACUUUUGCUUUUGUUUCCUUUUCCUCCAGAGAUGUGUUGAGUAAGAAGUUGCUGCAGCUGAGGUCAAAGAGAUUUUUGCCUGCUUUCUUCUCGAGGAUUUUGAUGGCUUCCUGUCUUACGUUUAGGUCUUUCAUCCAUUUUGAGUUUAUUUUUGUGUGUGGUGUAAGAAAGUGGUUUAGGUUCAUUUUUCUGCAUGUCGCUGUCCAGUUUUCCCAGCACCACUUGCUGAAGAGACUGUCUUGAUUCCAUUGGAUAGUCUUUCCUGCUUUGUCAAAGAUUAGGUGGCCAUACACUUGUGGGUCCAUUUCUGGGUUCUCAAUUCUGUUCCAUUGGUCUGAGUGUCUGUUCUUGUGCCAGUCCCAUACUGUCUUGAUAAUUACAGCUUUGUAAUACAGCCUGAAUUCCGGGAUUGUGAUGCCUCCAGCUUUGGUCUUCUUUUUCAGGGUUGCUUUGGCUAUUUGGGGUCUUGCCUGGUUCCGUACAAAUUUUAGGAUUGUUUGUUUUAGCUCUGUGAAGAAUGCUGGUAUUAUUUUGAUAGGAAUUUGCACUGAAUACGUAGAUUGCUUUGGGUAGUAUCUACAUUUAACGAUAUUUGUUCUUCUAAUCCAUGAGCAUGGAAUAUUUUUCCAUUUCUUGGUGUCGUCCUCAAUUUCUUUCAUAAGCUUUAUUUUUCUUUUCUUUUUAUUUUAUUUUUGAGAGAGAGAGAGAGUGUGAGCGGGGAAGGGACAGAGAGAGGGGAGAUGGAGAAUCCGAAGCAGGCUCCAGGCUCUGAGCUGUCAGCACAGAGCCCGAUACGGGGCUUGAACCCACUAACCACGAGAUCCAGGCACCCCUGGAUAUUAAGGCAACAGUACUACUCAAGAUUAUACAAAUUUAAUGCAAUCUUUGUCAAAGUCUCAUGAUGUUUUUGCAGCAAUAGAAAAACCUGUCCUUAAAUUCAUAUGGAAAAUCAUGGGACCUUGAAAAUUAAAACAAUCUUGAAAAAGAACAAAGUUGAAAUUCUCACGCUUAACUUCCUGAUUCAAAACUGAAUGCAAAACUACUGUAGGCGCCUGGGUGGCUUGGUUGGUUAAGGAACCAACUUCAGAUAAGAUCAUGAUCUCACAGUUCGAACCCCUCAUGGGCUCUGUGUUGUCAGCUCAGAGCCUGGAGUCUGCACUUGAUUCUGUGUCUUCCUUUCUGCCCUUCCCUGCUCUCACUGUCUCUCUCUCUCUCUCUCUCUCAAAAAUAAACAUUAAAACUUU